UGAAUCUGGAAACAUUAGAGCUAUAAUCAGAAGUCUCAAGUCACUGCCAAGUACACAUGACUAGGCACUCCCAGGUGUAAGGAUUGGAAGAGAAGGAAUCGAAGGCCCUCAAUGUCAACUCAGCUCCAGGGUCAAGUGGAAUUAGAACCGUCUUCUGCCUGACUCUACAGCCGGCAGCCUCCCGCACUGAUCACCUGACUCAUUCAUCGUGCCCAUGGUUCAGCCCCUGCCUGACUCUCCACGACAUGCCGACCCUCCAAGGCAGGAUCUCAUCCCCACCUUGUUGUAGGGGUCUGAAGACAUUCACUGGGGGUCUCUGCAGAGCUCCAGACAAGGGUGCCCUGCCAUCGGCUCGCAGGCAGGCACAUCCGAGAGGGGGGCCUUAACCUCACCCCCCACUGCGCACCUUCCCUUCUCCGCCCCCCACUUGGGUCAUGAAGCUCCCUCUGCCCCUUGCCCUUGCAGCUUCCUGGGCUGAGCAUGGUCAUAUCUGUUUAACGUGCUCCUAUUUGCAAAGCUCCAUCUCAGUUACCCUCAUCUGAUCUCCUGCAAGGAAGGCGUCAGCACUCCUUCUGGACAGAUAUGAACGCUGGGCCAGGGAGGCCAGUUUGCCGGGCUAGUCCAGGCAGAGCAGCGAGUCGCUUUCCAUGGGAGGUUUCUGGCUCCUGCUGCAGCACCCCUCCAAGCUGUGCCCCUCGCAGCCCCGACAUUGCUCACCCUCAUCCCCAGGCAGCCCUUCCUGCCCCAGGGCCCUCGGGCAAAAGGCACUCCCCUGCCCAUCCAGCUGCUUCCUUCCGGAAUUGCAGGGCCCACUGACCCAGGCCCCUUAGCAGAGGCUGAAGAUGGCUCUCAGCAGCUCCCCAAGUGUCCCUCCUCCGGCCUAAAAUUUUCUUUGUUCCUUUAGCUCGUUCCCUGUGGUCUGGUUUUCCAUCUGACUUGCCUGCAGGGCAAGAGUAAGAGGGUGUCUCUGGUCUUUUUAUGAAGGGCCUGGAGAUUUCAGUAAAACUGCCUCAUGACAAGAGUGACAGAGCCUCAAUUCAUGCAGCCAGAUGUAUGACGCUC